UUUUCGUAGGUGAACCUGCGGAAGGAUCAUUGUCGUGACCCUGACCAAAACAGAUUGCGCACGGGUCAUCCAAUCCACCGAUGACAGCACCGUCCGUCGCUCGGCCAAGUCCUCGACCGCCUCCCCUCCUCGGAGUGGAGGCUCAGGGUAAAAGAACCCACGUCGCCGAAGGCGUCAAGGAACACUGUGCCUAACCCGGGGGCAUGGUUAGCUUGCUAGUCGUCCCCUGUGUUGCAAAGCUAUUUAAUCCACACGACUCUCGGCAACGGAUAUCACGGCUCUC
rnacentral:misc_RNA from 1 species